GAUGAACGCUGGCGGCGUGCCUAACACAUUCAAGUCGAACGGUGACGGGGGCUUCGGUCCCCUGAUCAGUGGCGGACGGGUGAGUAACGCGUGAGCAACCUGCCUUUCAGUGGGGGAUAACGCAGGGAAACUUGUGCUAAUACCGCAUAACACAUUUUUGGGGCAUCCCUUUGAUGUCAAAGAUUUAUUGCUGAAAGAUGGGCUCGCUUCCGAUUAGAUAGUUGGUGAGGUAACGGCUCACCAAGUCUACGAUCGGUAGCCGGACUCCGAGGUUGAACGGCCACAUUGGAACUGAGAUACGGUACAGACUCCUACGGGAGGCAGCAGUGGGGAAUAUUGGGGAAUGGGCGAAAGCCUGACCCAGCGACGCCGCGUGAGGGAAGAAGGUCUUCGGAUUGUAAACCUUUGUUGACAAGGAAGAAACAAAUGACGUAACUUGUCGAGGAAGCCACGGCUAACUACGUGCCAGCAGCCGCGGUAAUAC
rnacentral:rRNA from 1 species